ACGGGGGGUGCAAGCGUUACUCGGAAUCAUUGGGCGUAAAGGGCGCGUAGGCGGCCUGGUAAGUCAGGUGUGAAAGCCCGGGGCUCAACCCCGGAAGUGCAUUUGAUACUGUCAGGCUUGAGUAUGGGAGAGGGAAGUGGAAUUCCUGGUGUAGAGGUGAAAUUCGUAGAUAUCAGGAGGAACACCGGUGGCGAAGGCGACUUCCUGGACCAAUACUGACGCUGAGGCGCGAAGGCGUGGGGAGCAAACAGGAUUAGAUACCCUGGUAGUCCACGCAGUAAACUUUGUUCACUAGGUGUAGCGGGUAUUGACCCCUGCUGUGCCGAAGCUAACGCAUUAAGUGAACCGCCUGGGAAGUACGGCCGCAAGGUUA
rnacentral:rRNA from 1 species